rnacentral:rRNA from 1 species
UCGAUAUCUCGAGAAGAGGAAAGGGGAAGAUUGGAGCAGAGAACGGGGGGGGGGGAGCUCUCGGAGAAAAAAGGGCUGUCGCUGGCUUGUACAUUCGAGCAUGUGCACGCCUUCCGAGUCGCUCUCUCUCUCCUCUGUCGUCAAACCUUUCUUCUUUUCGUUCUCACCUUUACACCUGUGCACCCACCGUAGGCUUUCGCAAGAAAGUCUAUGUUUUCUUUACAUCACAACCCGUCGUAUGUCCAGAAGGUACAUGUCGAACGAUCCCUCCACCUCGCAAGGGGGGGAGAUGUCGUGUCGACGAAACGAAAUAUACAACUUUCAGCAACGGAUCUCUUGGCUCUCGCAUCGAUGAAGAACGCAGCGAAUUGCGAUAAGUAAUGUGAAUUGCAGAUUUCCAGUGAAUCAUCGAAUCUUUGAACGCACCUUGCGCUCCUUGGUAUUCCGAGGAGCAUGCCUGUUUGAGUGUCAUCGAAUUCUCAAUCAUGUCGUGUGUGCAAGCAUGGACAUGACUUGGAGUUGGGGGUUGCAGGCCGUCCACAGGGCGGUCAGCUCCCCUUAAAUGCAUUAGCGAACUGCGGCGUCGGUCUCAAAGACGUGCACGGCCUUUGACGUGAUAAUGAUCGUCAUUGCUGAAGCAUCUCACUUGGGAUCAUGUAUGCCGACCGAUCGCUCCGAACCAGAACUGGAGGAGCUUCCCCUGCUGGUCCGAAGUGAAGCGGAGUCGAGCUUAGCUAUUAGCUUGCUUUCGAGCGGGCGAACGCGGCAAGACGAGGCUUCCGUCGGACCCUCGGUCGGGAAGGCUUCCGCUCGAAAAGGGGGCGAAAACAAACAAGGACAAGGACGGAAGACGUCGGACAGACCUUCUGCAGACCUGCCGGUCUAGGACAGGCAAAGUGUAGGAGCUCUGGCUACUAGCUUGCGAGAGCGAGCGAACGGCAGGGUGAGACCUUUGUCAUGGAUCGGACUGGCGGUUCGGAGGUUGCUCAGAGUCAAAGUCCCUAGGUCCGAAGUGUGGACAGUCCUCCUUUCGAUCCAAAGGUUGACCUCAAAUCAGGCAGGACUACCCGCCGAACUUAAGCAUAUCAAUAAGCGGAGGAAAAGAAACUAACAAGGAUUCCCCUAGUAACUGCGAGUGAAGCGGGAAAAGCUCAAAUUUCGAAUCUGGCGGUCGUGCAGGCCGUCCGAGUUGUAAUCUAGAGAAGCGUCUUCCGCGCUGGCCCGUGUACAAGUCUCCUGGAAGGGAGCGUCAUAGAGGGUGAGAAUCCCGUCUUUGACACGGACCACCAGCGCCAUGUGAUGCGCUCUCGACGAGUCGAGUUGUUUGGGAAUGCAGCUCAAAACGGGUGGUAAAUUCCAUCUAAAGCUAAAUACGGGCGAGAGACCGAUAGCGAACAAGUACCGUGAGGGAAAGAUGAAAAGAACUUUGGAAAGAGAGUUAAACAGUACGUGAAAUUGCUGAAAGGGAAACGCUUCGCGUCAGUCGCGUCGGCCAGGGAUCAACCUCGCGAGCGAUCGCUGGGUGCACUUCCUGUCUGAC